GUUUAGUUGCCAGGAAUGCUCAAGGUUUUCUGAUCAAUGUUGUUAUUUAAACGAAACUUUAAGAAAUUUGGAGUUUUAAUAGCGAUGGCAAUUGUCCAAGAGGGCAUGGGUUGUCCUGUCUUUGCACCUUGUGUCUAUAGCUACUCAUGUGGCAAAACACUAACUGAAAUCAAACCAGACAUUGUGGACAUCCCUAAUCUAGACGUCUGUUCAAUUGCCAAGCAGAUUGCAGAUGCCAAUGGCCCUGAAUUCGACAAUCUACUGACAGACAAUGAAGUGCUCUGCAAAAGGUCAUGGAUGCAGGCUACACGAAACCUCUUCAUAUUUAUAAGCAAGAUAUGCUGUCUGCAUUAGCAGUUCAUUUUUGCUUACUCAGUGUAAAAGCUGAGUUAGACCAAUUUGCGUGAGGGACUGGAAACUCUACAUAACGCAACCCUCUGACUGCAGGUACAUGCAGUACUGCAUUAUUAUGUUUGUACUAAGAGUUUGUUCAAAAAGAAGCACUUUUCUGAAAAGUGUUCAAAUUCCAGGAGAGAAGAAGAAGUAAGUUACAUCUAUUUUUGUCGCUAUCUUGAAGAUUUGAAAGAUUUAGUUGUUUGUAUUGACUCUCUAUAAUAUGAAAAUUCAUUAGCUGUCGAUGGUAUAUAUACUUUUAGUUGGUGUUGUUGAGAAUGUUACUAUGGCGGACUUACUGGAACUUUCACAUCAUGUGAAAACAUUCCUGUCAUGGGCUUUGAACUUACGCCCAGCUUACACUCUAAUUAACUGCAUGGACAUCUAUCUCACGGCAUCAACUUGUGGACAUGAAUUGGUCUUACCAACUAAAUACUAUGAAGAUGAAGCCAAAUUCAAAGAGGCCGUGACUGUUGGUUUGUUGUUUUAUGGAGGCUAUGGAAAGAAGUGACUCCUAUGAUUGAUACAGAUCUAGCACAGCAGUCAUUUUCUUUUAGCAUGCAUGCAGAUCCACAAGUAUCAGAAUCAGGUGCAGGAGUGAACAAUUAAAUAUCAAUUAAAGUGUAGUAAUUAGGUAUUAAAUGCGUUCAAGUGUCAUGUGUAGUAAUUAGUUGAAGUAUUGGCUAGUUAUAAUUAUUGAGGCUAUAGACUUUGCAGAAUUAAAUAAUAUGGUUGGUGGAG